ACUGAGAAACACCCCCAGCCCUUUUUAAAAUUUUUAAAUUUUGAGUCAGGUCUCUCAAGUUGCUGAGGCUAGCUUCAAACUUAUCAUCCUCCUGCCUCAGCCUCCUGAGUUGCUGGGAUCAGAGGUGUGUGCCACUCACUGUAUCUGGCUACUUCAUUUCUUUUUAGUGCAGAAUAAUAUUUCAUUGUGUGGAAGGUUCAUGUUUUGGCUAUCUACUCAUUAGCUGACAGGCAUUUGGGUUGUUUCCACUUUUUCACUGUUUUGAGUCGUGGGCUGUGAACAUUUGUGUGAAAGUAUUUGUGUGGGCAUGUUUUCAUUUAUCUUGGAGAUAUGCCUGUGUGUGGGAAAAAUUAAAAAGCUCAGUUUUCCCCUCUGUUCUCACCGCGACACCCAGUGCAGAUGACACCAGCCAGGCAUCUUCUGAUCUACCUGGAGAUACCAGAUCUCAUGGGUUAAGGGCUCAGCUCCAAGACUGUCCCCUCCCCUUCCUGCCAUUCAUGAGCCCCAGGGGUUCAAUUGAGCUUUUGAUGGACAGGAUAUAAACGCCACAACCUCCUCCUUGGGCUUAAUGAAUGGCUUGAGCAGCUCCCGGGC
rnacentral:lncRNA from 1 species